AAGAGGAGAAGAGUGAAAGAAGGAGGCCUUUCAACAGAGCCAAGUAUCUGUGUCCAGUUACAACUGGCAGAGUGUUUCCGGAAAGAUCUCCUGACCUGGGAAUGCCACGAUGGCAGUGUCUCCUGGCAGAGCGGAGACACUGCUGACCAGUCAUCUACCUACACUUACCUCAGAGAGUUUUCUCCUCCUAUGAUUCUGCGCUGGCGAGUGUGUUUGAGCCGCAGACCACAAAUUGACUUGACGGGGUCUGACAGAGACAAAAGAGGAACCACUGGAUGGGCUGCGAUUCACCGUAGUCACAGAUGACCCCAGCGUCCUCACUGUGGCGACAGUUGUGCGUGCCGGGUGCCUGUUUGAUGCAGUCAGCUAACGAACGCUCCUCGCCGCUGCACUUCACAUUGUCCACGUGGAUAGGUCCUGUCCCUUCCCCGAAGUACGCCAUCACACGGGACUUGGCCACCCCACUGGAGAGAAUGGACAGGACACAGAGACAUUUCGUUGCCAUUGCCACCUAACUUAAAUAAAACUGGAAAACUGUUACAGCUGUUGAGGCAAAAUGCUAAAAUACUAAAAUAUAAACAAAAUCGUAUUUAAAACACAUAACAUCAACAAAAAAGCAAAACAUCAGUUAAGAAAAACAACAGAAUUUAUGAAGCUUUCAGUUGCAUUAUCUAAUAUUAAGAGAUUCCUCAACAUUUGAGUAGAGAAAUGUGCGUCUUGCCCUUUGUUUUUGAUAAAAGACAACCAACAGCAGUUAAAGCCAUUUGCAGAUGUGCUUCAACUAGUCAUAGUUGAUGUAAUUUUAAAUUUGUAUUAUGCGUAAGCCAGAUUUGAUUAUUUAUUCUCUUUGAUUUAAGCUCAAUUUCUAUUUUAUUUUUUUAUCAUAUAAAGUAAUUUUAUGUAUCUUCUCCUAAAUACCUUUAACCACGUUGAAAUUCUAAAGUUGCAGGCUUAGCUGCUACAUCCUUCUGUCUGUAACACAAGCAUAUAGGUACUAAUGACAUGUUAGAUGUUAUGGUUUGACAUUUUCUGGCUGUGACGCAAACGGGUCAAAGCACUUUUCCAAUCUGAUAACAACAGUAUUUGUAUCAUUAUCUCACCUCUGACUUUAAUUAGGAGUCAGCUAACACACAGAGGCCUGUAUGUUGUGGUUGUGUAUGUGUGCUUGUCUAGGCUGCAACUGUGACUUUAAUGAAGAUUGAUAGAUAACUGACUGAGAGGAGCUCAUGUUGCAUCCCUGGGGUUUGAUGGGUGGCAGGUCUUGUAUCCCCCACUCAUCCAAAGGGAAUCUCAUCUCUCUUAUUGAGACAUCUACAAUUGUGUCUGUGUCUCCAAUAGCUCCCUGAGCGGUAGUUAGCAUGGAAAGGGUGAACCUCCAAGUCACUUGGAACUAAGCCUAUAGAGAAUGACAUCAAGCCUGCUUUGUGUGUUUCUGUGGCAACACACAGUAACACAACAUCAGUCAAAAAUGAAAUACAAUCUGCUUUGAAUCGUUAAUGCUCAAGUUAGAAAGGAAAGCCAAGUGAUUUUUCAGACAUCAUACUUCAUGUACAGUCCAUUUGCCAUCUUUAAAAUUCUAGGUAACCAUUUUUCAAAUGGCAUUUUUAUAGUGGGUCUGUUCUAAAUAUUGCAUGGGAGGGUGGAAUAAAAGAUGCAAAAUAGGUGACUUGGAUAAAUUAAAUUAUUUGAAAUUGUUACAUAAAGCACUUUGUAUAUGACAUACAGUAUAGUUGUGCUAUUGUAUUGAGUUUUUUUUCCUUUUGCAACAUGUGCUCAUGGUGCAGCCUCGCAGAAAUACAACAUAAAUGGUUAGAGGUGGAUAAAAAA